UACGGGGGGAGCAAGCGUUGUUCGGAUUUACUGGGCGUAAAGGGCGCGUAGGCGGCCAGCACAAGUCAGUUGUGAAAUCUCCGAGCUUAACUCGGAAAGGUCAACUGAUACUGUGCGGCUAGAGUGCAGAAGGGGCAACUGGAAUUCCUGGUGUAGCGGUGGAAUGCGCAGAUAUCAGGAAGAACACCCGUGGCGAAGGCGGCUCUCUGGGACGGUACUGACGCUGAGACGCGAAAGCGUGGGGAGCGAACAGG
rnacentral:rRNA from 1 species